rnacentral:rRNA from 1 species
UGUGACUGCGUACCUUUUGUAUAAUGGGUCAGCGACUUAAUGUUAGUAGCAAGGUUAACCGUAUAGGGGAGCCGUAGGGAAACCGAGUCUUAACUGGGCGUAUAGUUGCUAGCAUUAGACCCGAAACCGAGUGAUCUAGCCAUGGGCAGGUUGAAGGUUGAGUAACAUCAACUGGAGGACCGAACCGACUAAUGUUGAAAAAUUAGCGGAUGACUUGUGGCUAGGGGUGAAAGGCCAAUCAAACUCGGAGAUAGCUGGUUCUCCCCGAAAGCUAUUUAGGUAGCGCCUCGGACGAAUACUACUGGGGGUAGAGCACUGUUAAGGCUAGGGGGUCAUCCCGACUUACCAACCCUUUGCAAACUCCGAAUACCAGUAAGUACUAUCCGGGAGACACACGGCGGGUGCUAACGUCCGUCGUGGAGAGGGAAACAACCCAGACCGCCAGCUAAGGUCCCAAAUUACAGCUAAGUGGGAAACGAUGUGGGAAGGCUUAGACAGCUAGGAUGUUGGCUUAGAAGCAGCCAUCAUUUAAAGAAAGCGUAAUAGCUCACUAGUCGAGUCGGCCUGCGCGGAAGAUGUAACGGGGCUAAGUUGUAAACCGAAGCUGCGGCAAU